GUCCGACAGUGCUGCGUUCCGAGGCUGCGGGUUGGGGUCGCGGUCGGACGUGCGGAGGUCUAACUUUUCAGGGUAACACCUGCAGAUUUUCAUACCGAGAAGCAACGGCUCGCGUGUGGGGCGCUUAGGGAGGCGCGAGGCAGGCGGCGGAGUCGGUCCGGCCGCUGGAGGGCCGCCUCGUCCCGCCGAUAGCAGCCGCCGGGCCUUUCUGUCCUGCCGCAGAGCAGCUCCUGAGGGCGGGUUACGGAUGCUGAGUGCUGUGGCUGCUGGCGGUGGGCGCAGCCCUCGGGAAGCUGCUCUGCAGGGCGGGCCCGCAGGCGGCACACAUAGCCGCAGGGUGGUGGCACCGGAGCUCCCGCGGUGGAGGCACUGAGCUUGUUUCUGUCCGGGGUGUCACUUCAUGGGACAGCCCGUGGUUUCAACGGCGCCAUCAGCAGCAGUAGCACAGCCCCCCCCCACCCAACCCUAUCAUAACAUGGGAUGUAGUCUCAGCAGCGCCGACCCCUGGCACCAUAUCUGCACUCGCAUGGACUUUCACCCGUGCCUCUCCAAAAUUAAGGCAUUCCGAGCCUGCUUUCUUCCUGUGCCAUCCCUGAGUGAUUGCAUAUCACCACAGCUCAGUUUUCCAAGCUUUUGUUGUGGGUUUUUUUUUUUCCCCUCCUUCAGGAGAGCAAUGGGGAAGGCGCCUGGAACAGGCAGAGGAGGCUGGCUGGGCUCUGCUGCUUCCCAACAGCUCAGUGCAGCUCCCAGAGGAGAUGAACGAGUUAGUCACUCACUGAGCUCACAGCUGAAGCAUCUCAGCCUCCAUGAGAAUUUGUCACCAGCCCUUCCUGGGCUGCUGAGUACCCAGAAGAAGGGGAGAGACUGGGGAUUUGGGGGAUAUGCUUCCUGUGCUGGCUGACGGCGUGGGCAGCAACCACUGCGAGGUCAUGGGGCUGUUCUUCACCUCAAGGAGCAAGGGUGGCAUGGAGCUCACCAGUGCUUAUGGUCCCAGCUGAUUCCCACUGCAUAGGAGUUUGUAUGUUGAGAAAGGGGGCGCCAGGGAGCUUUCUAGGGAUUUCCCUGUGAGAUUCAGGAGCUGGGAGUUUUCCCCAGUUUCCACCCGUCCUUGCAGCAAUGCCUUUUGCUCACAUGCUCCUCCCAGGGUCAUAAGUGGUUCUUAAAAAAAAGCAACAGCCCACACAAUGCUCUUCCCUUCCCUAGCCGGGUGCUGCUGACGAGAUACCUCAUCCGGUCCUGAGGGUACAGAAUUAGCCCUCCACAUGGGAAAGGCCCUGCCAAUCCUGGCCACCAGCUUCAACACCCCAGGGCUACGAGGUCAGCAGCACGUCACUGCUAUGCAUCCUACACGUGUAUCCUCCAGUCCCUUCCAAAGGCCUGAUGCAAGAUGUUGCUAUUCCUACUCUGCUUGUGGGAUUUCUUGGAGGUCACAUUGCUGGUGCUGAUGUCAAGUGAUGUUUUCCUUGACGUGCAAGGAAGGAAGCCCAAACUCGGAUGUUUAUUUGUUCUGUCCUGGCCGAUGUUCCCUUGGUCGUGCUCCAGUGGCCGAUAAACUGGCAGGGAAGCAGAGCGUGGAGCACGGCAGAGCCUGGGAAAGGCCGGGACCCCGCUUCCCCUGCCCUUACGUCAUGGUUUCUCUCUGAUUAGCUUGGCCUGGGGGCUGCCAGCUGCCUUCACUCCCUUGUCUCCUCCAUGCCGCCUGUGCUUGUCAACAUGUCCCUAUACCUGAGAUGUGGGUGGGAAGCAUGGGAAGGCAGCACAAGGCUGGACCAGCAGCAUGAUGGUGGGAUGCCUGGAGCUGGUAGGGGUGGAGAUCAAGAAGAAAGUGCUGGAACACCACAAGUGACAAGCUCUGCCUGGUUUAUGGGACCUUUAUGAGGGGAGCAGUGCAGGUAUCUGCAAGGAUAACAUCUCCCUGAAGUCCCAGCCUUUUCUUCUGAGUCCUGUGAAGUGGCUGGAACCUGUGCUUCAUCCUGGUUUGAUCCCUAAGGGAUCAAGGAAUGGGGGCCUUGUGAGCACCAUGUGUGGAGAGGGGCUAAAGACCCCUUCCCACUCCCUUUCUAACCAAGAUUUCCACCUGAAAAAAAAAUCUUCCUAGCAAAUUAAAACAAGGUGGCUGGGCCGUACUCUUCAAACAGGCUUUCACCUUCUCCUUUAGUCCCAACCAUGGUCCAGGCUAUACCCCUGGUGGGUCCUGCUCAACUGCAGUGAUGUCUGAGGCCAUUACAGACCUCUGAAGUUCUUCUGGGAAGAGCCCCCACCCAGGAACAUUGGGGUGGGAGAUAAAUUUGAAAGAGUUCAGGAAGCUCUUGCAGGAUGAAUGGAAGGUGCUUCAGGGAGAGGUGAGGUGGGAAAUCAUGGGACAGAAGGCAGCUGGGGAGGUACUCUGUGUUUGAAAUGGAGAAAUAGCUACCAAUGCUCUUUGCUUUGGAACAGAAGAGGAGCCCUGAAGUUAACCGAGUGCUUUGGGGAUCUUCUCCUUAGGAGAGGAUGGUGCAAAAUAUGAGUGUCCCCUCCUCCCCAUCUUCUGCUGCUGUCACUGUGCAGAAGAGAAGAAGGAAUUUAACCCAAACCCCUCUGUGGUCUCAAGCAGCCACCCAAAGUCCCACAUCCUUUUGCAGAUAUGGGCACCGGGGUCCUAAGAGGGAUACUCAGGGUUUCAGGUCACCCCCAGUCACCACCCUGACUCACUGCCUGCUGGCUCAGAGGAUAAUACAUAGCUUCAACACUGCUAAUUGGAGCUCUUUCCCGACACUUCCUCCUCUCAAUCUUCUUCUACCCUUAGUUCUGCAGAGUCAAUAAGUGAAUUCACAUUAAAGCAGAAGUCUCUGCCAGUUCCCCUGUAUCUGCAACAGCCAGGGGGACUGCAAGGAGGUGGAGUGAAUCCUCCAGUCCCCCAGGGAUGGGAGAUAAAUCCCCAUGGCUCUCCCCUGCCCAAACCUUCUCCUGCUCCCUCUCCCUUUGCACUCCUCUGUUUCUCCUCCCCAGUUCUCUCCCAGGCUGUGGUCCUCAGCAGACAGCUGCUAGUGAUUUUCCUCGGUCAGCAAGAGCCAGGGCUGGGUGAUGCCUGCAAGCUGUGCUCUAAGGCGAAGGGACCCUUAAAGAUUCUCUGGCCCAACCCCGUGACAUGCACAUCUGUCACCAGCCCCAUUCAACCCAACUUUGAGCACCUCCAAUGAUGGGGCAUCCACAACUUUUCUGGACAACAUUUUAAGGUUUCACCAUCCUCAGUGUAGAAAAAAAAUUCUUCCUUAUUCCAAUCUAAGUCUCUUCUGUUUCACUUUAAAGCUGUUGCUACUCAUUCUGUCAAUAUAGACUGGAUCAUUGUCCUACUUGCAGUCUGCUCUGAGAUAGUCUGUGCUGAAUAUACUUAGGAUCGUGAGAUCUUGGGGGAUAGCAGCCAGCUCUGGCCAUAUCUUGGACAUCUUCUACAUGUCCCAAAGCAUGGGAGCAGGAAGGGUCCUUCCCAGGUGGCUAGGUGGCUGCAGACCAAGAAUAAACCAUCAUACCUACCGGAAGGGGAAACUGAGUCAGGAGCCAUGAACUAACCUAAUUUCCUGAUUUCCAUGAAUUAGCCAUGCUUUUCCACGGGGAGAUGGGAGAGAUGGGUCUUUGCACUCCCAAAAUAGCCUCAUUUGGAGCAUGGGGCACUGCAUUUACCCUGCCUGUGCAUGUGUUUGGGCACUUGGCACCAGCCUCGCAUUUCUUUAUCCCAGUGAAUGGCCCUGCAGAAGUUUUAUUGUCAGAAGGGCAGAAACUGGGGCCAACCCUAACCUUGUGAGCCCCCAUGCUCAGCCCACGCUGGUAGGACAGUGCAGAGCAGUAGCAUCCCUGGGAGCAUCCCUGCUCUCAGCACCUCUGGGAAGCCCUGGAAGAACCAAAGGACAGCCUAGCUUUGUGCAAGGAGCUUCAUUCUCCUCCUGUCCUUCCCCAGGCCACUAUGGGGCUUUGUGCCCAAACCUUCCACAGCCUCCAGCAAAAAGAUUUUAAGACAUGGAACAGCAAUUAAGGUUUCACAGAGGUUUCAGCAUUGCAACACCACGAGUUUCAGCAAAUAAUUAGGACUGUGGCUUGUAGGCUGAUGAGCUGCUGAUUCAUGGGUCUGACUACCACCCUUUGCUGGCAGCAGCUCGGGUCAGUCUGGAGAUAGUAAGGGACAGCCUCUGUUUCCUGAUGUGAUGGAGAUGGGACCAAACAACCCAUCUGGCUCCAUCUGAGAACCUCAGCUUCCCCAGCGGUGUCUGCACUUUGGUGGCUUGCUUUCAGGCUUGGUGCAACCUCUGCUCCACUGUGUGCAAUGGGUGGACAUGCCCAGGGGCUCUGGGGGGACCUCAUGAGAGCAGGACCUCACUGCUCGGCCCCAGAGCGCUUAGGCAGGAGAGGCUGAGCCUCCAGAU
rnacentral:lncRNA from 1 species